UUUUGCCACCCCUGUACUUACACCAGGAACAUUAGUCAAACUGGAGGAGAUAACAAGGGGGAGGGGGCGGGGGGGGAGGAGGUGAUAAGGGAGACAAACUACUGAGCUACACAGUCUGCACAGUGCGUUUGCACGUGCACGUGUGCACAUCUCAUCAGCACGCUGGCUGCUCAGACGCAGAGUUUUUGUCCUCAGAUCAAUGGAGGCCCGAGUUGUAGUGGGGAGGAGGAGGCAGACGUGAUCACUCAUUAGUCACCUCUUCACCUCUUCGCAGCUCCAAGCGGUUCAGCAGGACAAAUUCUCAACGUUCCAACGCCGGACAACCCAACAGUCGCCAUUUGAAAUGAGAAAAGGGGAAAGAAUGGAAAAUGGCCGAGGGAUUAGAGGAUCUAAACCGGAUAAAGGGUUAGGAGAUUCUUGGUGUGAUCCAGUUUAGUUUGAAAGAUGGAGGGUCUUAACAAGGAUUUGAGACCUUAGAAUUCAUUGUGCCAUUAUUUCCAUCCUGUGCAGCUUCACUUAAAUUGUUUGCCGUUUUGUGGUUCUUAAAAUCUCAUGGUUCUCCU
ensembl:lncRNA